CACUAUGCAUGCGAUGUGUAUGUAAUGUAUUUGAAUUCAGAGUGAAAAAAGCCGUUGCAUGAAGUACAUCCUCCUAAAUACUCUUGUUUUCUCCUGCAAAUUUACAAUAUGGGCAUCCUUUUUUAACAUCUUUCGUCAAAGAAGUGGAUUCAAAGCACAUUGUCGCCUCAGUAUAUUGAUGUGAAACCAUGCAGAAAAUGCUACUCUCUCUCAACCUUGUGGAUGUUCCCUACUUCCCUAAGGAUCAGCAGCCUCUUGAAACAGUUGAAGCCAUUAUCGAAUUCCUUGCGUCUAUGUUCCCUGGAUCUGAAAGCAGUGCAUAAUGCCAGAGAUUCCACCCAAAAGCCAACCCAUGAGUCCAAGCUGAAGAGGAAUAUUUCCAAAUCGAUGGCUCCACUAAUCUGAUUGAAUUCCUUGCGUCUAUGUUCCCUGGAUCUGAAAGCAGUGCAUAAUGCCAGAGAUUCCACCCAAAAGCUAACCCAUGAGUCCAAGCUGAAGAGGAAUAUUUCCAAGAUUACAUGUAGAUCUACACUCACCCGAUAGUUUAACUGCUAGAAAAAAGCAGCAUAUCUGAAGGAGCCUUAAAGGGACUUGGUAACAUUGUUCAGAUGAGAGAAAAUGGUGCUAAGGUAUUGACUUCAAUGCUAUACUGUAUGUACACUGAAAGAUAAUCUGAACAUUUGAGUUAAACAUAGACCACUAUUGAUGAUAAAAAUUGGGAAAACUGAUCAGAUCCAUUCCUUAAUUCUCCCAACUUUAUUUUUAUAAAUUGAAGUGAGUGUAAAUCAUCACAAAGCAAAGAAUUAGCUCCAAUACCUUUUCCAAAUUUAGGCGUUGAAAGAUUUUUAAAGGCCUGUUUUAUAUCUUAUUUUCAUGGAAAAACGGUUGGGGAAAAUUCAAAAUUUGUUGGGAGAAUUAACUGUUAAAGAGUGACACACAGUAGCGCUUUCAAUGAAAACCAUAAAUAUCUUGUGGUUUGAAAAACAAUUGGUAGUUAAAAGUAUAAAAUUCUUGGAUUGUAUCUGUGAUUUUGAAAGCACAAUAUGGCUUACCUACAUGUAUAUUGAAUUCGCUGUUAAAAUUUAAGUUAAAUUUUAAUUCUUUUGUGAAACUCCUGGGACUUGCCAAAUGAAUGUUGUGACAUUAGCAAUGGAAUAUAUCUCUUUGUGCUAAACUUUUUCAGCAUGUUUGCUAUUUUAUCUUAAACUGGAAAAUAUCUUCUGAAUAAUUAUUCCACAGUCACCUUGGAAUUGCCCAACUGAGCCAAUCGUACUGGCGGGAAUGUUAUCUGAUAUAAAUUGUAUUUUUAUACUUAAACUUCAGCUUCUGUAUUUGCAACAAAACUAAUUUUUUGUUAUUUAUAAAUAUGAAUGUUG